GACGAACGCUGGCGGCGCGCCUAACACAUGCAAGUCGAACGAGAGAUGAGGAGCUUGCUCUUCAAAUCGAGUGGCGAACGGGUGAGUAACGCGUGAGGAACCUGCCUCAAAGAGGGGGACAACAGUUGGAAACGACUGCUAAUACCGCAUAAGCCCACAGCUCGGCAUCGAGCAGAGGGAAAAGGAGCAAUCCGCUUUGAGAUGGCCUCGCGUCCGAUUAGCUAGUUGGUGAGGUAACGGCCCACCAAGGCGACGAUCGGUAGCCGGACUGAGAGGUUGAACGGCCACAUUGGGACUGAGACACGGCCCAGACUCCUACGGGAGGCAGCAGUGGGGAAUAUUGCACAAUGGGGGAAACCCUGAUGCAGCGACGCCGCGUGGAGGAAGAAGGGUCUUCGGAUUGUAAACUCCUGUUGUUGAGGAAGAUAAUGACGGUACUCAACAAGGAAGUGACGGCUAACUACGUG
rnacentral:rRNA from 1 species